CACAACGUUGCCUCAACGUAGCGACCUUCCUACAACGUUGUACCAACCUUGCAAAAAGGUUGAGGAUUCUACGUUGUUGCUAAACGUUGUCACAACGAUGUCAUAAGGUUGCCAUUUAAACAUCACGAGGGCCGCAUACUUUAGGUUGUGCUUAGGUGGCGUGGACAACCACUGUACAACAUUUACUGGUCACAGCUGAAUCAGUUUAAAUUUCAACAAGCCGUCGUCUCAUUCAUCAACGACCGAGGAGACGCUAUUUUCACAUGGAGAAUGUUUUCAGCUGUUGAAUUCACCUCAGAUCAGUGUUGCUGUA